GGUUGCGUGGCCGAGUGGUCUAAGGCGCUAGAUUAAGGACUAGCCGGAAAAAUCCCGGCAAGUUAGACCUCUAGUCCGAAAGGGCGCAGGUUCGAACCCUGCCGCAGCCA
rnacentral:tRNA from 1 species